rnacentral:lncRNA from 1 species
CCCACCCCCUGCUACCACCUUCACAGUGAUGGCCAUGAUACUUUUUCUGAGACUCAGUUUCCCCUUUUCUUUCAGUGUCAUUAAUAGUCAAUAUGAGGGUUACAGAAUACAAUAGCUUUUAUAUUGAAACAGGUCACCUUAAUGUUGUCCACACUGGCUUCUGAAGUCACAAUCUUCUUCCCUGGCCCCGAGUGUAGGCAAUGCAGAUGGAAGUUACCACCCAGGUACCAUAUGCAAUUUUUGAAACCACAAACUACACUCCAUCUCAUAUUAUGAGAGCCUCUGCCCUGCAUUUCUUAAAUUCCUCAGAGAUAUUUUAGGGGUGGGGUGAACUGCCCCAUUAAUGUUUCUGGGUUGAAAUUAGAGUGCUUUCUCCUAAGGUGGCUGGAUCAACUCAGGAUUGAUUUGGUUCACCAGCAAAUGAAGAAUUCUUGCACUGUCUUGGCUUCAUGUGUUCUCCCAGGGGCCACUGAACAGACUUCUGUUUGGAGUACCACUCUUUGCUGCUAUAUCAUUUGCCUUCAUUUCCAUCAACUGUGAAUUUCUACAAGGUAACAGCCGUCUCCUGUUUGCCCUCUUAGCACCCAGCGCUUCCUGGUCUUGACUGAUGAAGAAUGUUCAAGAAACAACAAAAACAAACAAACAAAUAAUCUCCAGAAAACAUCUGUCAGCUUGAUGUCAUAAAACCAAGUUAAGGUUCAGCCUUUCCUAGUGAAGGAUGUUGUGACUUCUGAAG